rnacentral:rRNA from 1 species
GACGAACGCUGGCGGCGUGCCUAAUACAUGCAAGUCGAACGCUGCUUAAGAAGAAACUUCGGUUUUUUCUUAAGUGGAGUGGCGGACGGGUGAGUAACACGUGGGGAACCUAUCCAUCAGCGGGGGAUAACACUUGGAAACAGGUGCUAAUACCGCAUACGGCUUUUUUUCACCUGAAAGAAAGCUCAAAGGCGCUUUACAGCGUCACUGAUGGCUGGUCCCGCGGUGCAUUAGCCAGUUGGUGAGGUAACGGCUCACCAAAGCAACGAUGCAUAGCCGACCUGAGAGGGUGAUCGGCCACACUGGGACUGAGACACGGCCCAGACUCCUACGGGAGGCAGCAGUAGGGAAUCUUCGGCAAUGGACGCAAGUCUGACCGAGCAACGCCGCGUGAGUGAAGAAGGUUUUCGGAUCGUAAAGCUCUGUUGUCAGCAAAGAACAGGAGAAAGAGGAAAUGCUUUUUCCAUGACGGUAGCUGACCAGAAAGCCACGGCUAACUACGUGCCAGCAGCCGCGGUAAUACGUAGGUGGCAAGCGUUGUCCGGAUUUAUUGGGCGUAAAGCGAGCGCAGGCGGUGAUUUAAGUCUGAUGUGAAAGCCCCAGCUCAACUGGGGAGGGUCAUUGGAAACUGGAUCACUUGAUGCAGAGAGA